AUUGAACGCUGGCGGCAGGCCUAACACAUGCAAGUCGAGCGAGCGGCGGACGGGUGAGUAAUGUCUGGGAAACUGCCUGAUGGAGGGGGAUAACUCCUGGAAACGGUAGCUAAUUCCGCAUACCAUCAGAUGUGCCCAGAGGGGAUGAGCUAGUGGGGUGGGUAACGGCUCACCUAGGCGACGAUCCCUAGCUGGUCUGAGAGGAUGACCAGCCACACUGGAACUGCGACACGGUCCAGACUCCUACGGGAGGCAGCAGUGGGGAAUAUUGCACAAUGGGCGAAAGCCUGAUGCAGCCAUGCCGCGUGUGUGAAGAAGGCCUUCGGGGUGUAAAGCACUUUCAGCGGGGAGGCGUUACCCGAAGAAGAAGCACCGGCUAACUCCGUGCCAGCAGCCGCGGUAAUUC
rnacentral:rRNA from 1 species